rnacentral:rRNA from 1 species
AUUGAACGCUGGCGGCAGGCCUAACACAUGCAAGUCGAACGAGUGGCGGACGGGUGAGUAAUGUAUGGGAACCUGCCUGAUGGAGGGGGAUAACUACUGGAAACGGUAGCUAAUACCGCAUACCAUCGGAUGUACCCAGAUGGGAUUAGCGUGUGGGUGGGGUAACGGCUCACCCAGGCGACGAUCCCUAGCUGGUCUGAGAGGAUGACCAGCCACACUGGAACUGAGAAACGGCCCAGACUCCUACGGGAGGCAGCAGUGGGGAAUAUUGCACAUUGGGCGCAAGCCUGAUGCAGCCAUGCCGCGUGUAUGAAGAAGGCCUUAGGGUUGUAAAGUACUUUCAGCGGGGAGGCGUUACCCGCAGAAGAAGCACCGGCUAACUCCGUGCCAGCAGCCGCGGUAAUUC